GACAGAGGAUGCAAGCGUUAUCCGGAAUGAUUGGCGUAAAGCGUCUGUAGGUGGCUUUUUAAGUCCGCCGUCAAAUCCCAGGGCUCAACCCUGGACAGGCGGUGGAAACUACCAAGCUGGAGUACGGUAGGGGCAGAGGGAAUUUCCGGUGGAGCGGUGAAAUGCGUAGAGAUCGGGAGGAACACCUGUGGCGAAGGCGGCCGGCUGGGGGUGCCCUGACGCUGAGGCGCGAAAGGCGUGGGGAGCGAACCGG
rnacentral:rRNA from 1 species